AAAAUUUUAAAUAAAGAAGAAGAAGAAGAAAUUUCCGUCGCUGGGAACGAUCAUUCUCUGCCUCCGCCAUAAAAAGGCCAUAAAUUUCCUUCUGCUACCAUCACUUUCUGCAGAUUUUAUCGAUCGUUCUAUCAUACAUGGUGAGAGGAUUGCUCAACAAGAUCGUCUCUCGAUCUCUUUCUGUGGCAGGCAAAUGGCAGCAGCAACAGCUCCGCCGUCUCAACGUCCAUGAGUAUCAGGGGACUGAGUUGAUGAAAAAAUAUGGGAUCAAUGUGCGUAAGGGUAUUUUGCUAUUUCUUCUGUUGAUGAAGCAAAAAACGCAGUUCAAACUGGUUUUCCUGAUGCGAAAGAGAAUUUUGGCUAGUGGAAGAGGUUUGGGAACAUUCAAAAGCGGCUUAAAGGUGGAGUACACAUAGUGAACGUGGAACAGGUUGAAGAGCUUGCUGGCAAGAUGGUUGGGCAGAUACUUGUCACUAAACAAACUGGUCCUCAGGGCAAAGUUGUCAGCAAGGUUUAUCUGUGUGAGAAGUUGUCACUUAUGAACGAAAUGUACUUUGCUAUCACUCUGGAUCGUAAAAUCUCAAUGCAGGCCUAUACUUCGUUUGGAGGAGGAGAUGUGAAUUACAUAGGAUUAGUUAUAAAAAAUUUAUUGUAAGAUUGGGUAUGACCACCUUGUGUUGUUGUUGUUGUUGUAAAGGUUGCCCUCAAAGUGCCCGUGAUGGUUCGGCUUGAAGAAGGUACAAAUGUCGACCAAGGAAAAACAAUUCUCAAGGUAAAUCUGCGCUCUUUAAGAUCUUGAU